rnacentral:rRNA from 1 species
GACGAACGCUGGCGGCGUGCUUAACACAUGCAAGUCGAACGGUGAAGCGCCUUCCUUUUUGGUGGGUGUGGAUGAGUGGCGAACGGGUGAGUAACACGUGAGUAACCUGCCCCCUUCUUCUGGAUAACCGCAUGAAAGUGUUGCUAAUACGGGAUAUUCUGGGUCUGUCGCAUGAUGGGUCUGGGAAAGAUAUUGUUUCGGUGGGGGAUGGGCUCGCGGCCUAUCAGCUUGUUGGUGGGGUGAUGGCCUACCAAGGCGGUGACGGGUAGCCGGCCUGAGAGGGUGGACGGUCACACUGGGGAUGAGACACGGCCCAGACUCCUACGGGAGGCAGCAGUGGGGAAUAUUGCACAAUGGGCGGAAGACUGAUGCAGCGACGCCGCGUGAGGGAUGGAGGCCUUCGGGUUGUGAACCUCUUUCGCCAGUGAAGCAGGCCUGCCUCGUUUGUGGGUGGGUUGACGGUAGCUGGAUAAGAAGCGCCGGCUAACUACGUG